rnacentral:rRNA from 1 species
UACAGAGACCUCAAGCGUUAUCCGGAAGCAUGGGGCGUAAAGCGUACCGAUAGGUGGGUUACAAAGUCAGAGGGGAAAUCUCAAGGCUCAACCUUGAGUCUGUCCUUUGAUACUUGUAAACUUGAGGGGCAAAGAGGAAGCUGGAACAAACGGUGUAGUAGUGAAAUGCGUUGAUAUCGUUUGGAACACCAAUAGCGUAGGCAGGCUUCUGGGUGCCACCUGACACUGCUAGGACGAAAGCGUGGGGAGCGAAUGGG